rnacentral:rRNA from 1 species
UUCCCUACGGGGGGCAGCAGUGAGGAAUAUUGGUCAAUGGGCGCGAGCCUGAACCAGCCAAGUAGCGUGAAGGAUGACUGCCCUACGGGUUGUAAACUUCUUUUAUAAAGGAAUAAAGUGAGGCACGUGUGCCUUUUUGUAUGUACUUUAUGAAUAAGCAUCGGCUAACUCCGUGCCAGCAGCCGCGGUAAUACGGAGGAUGCGAGCGUUAUCCGGAUUUAUUGGGUUUAAAGGGUGCGUAGGCGGGCCUUCAGGCCGGCGGCAAA